AUGGGCGUCGACCGGCGCACGGGUGAGUAACGCGUAUCCAACCUGCCCAUCACUUGGGGAUAACCUUGCGAAAGUAAGACUAAUACCCAAUGAUAUCUCUAGAAGACAUCUGAAAGAGAUUAAAGAUUUAUCGGUGAUGGAUGGGGAUGCGUCUGAUUAGCUUGUUGGCGGGGUAACGGCCCACCAAGGCGACGAUCAGUAGGGGUUCUGAGAGGAAGGUCCCCCACAUUGGAACUGAGACACGGUCCAAACUCCUACGGGAGGCAGCAGUGAGGAAUAUUGGUCAAUGGGCGAGAGCCUGAACCAGCCAAGUAGCGUGCAGGAUGACGGCCCUAUGGGUUGUAAACUGCUUUUAUAAGGGAAUAAAGUGAGUCUCGUGAGACUUUUUGCAUGUACCUUAUGAAUAAGGACCGGCUAAUUCCGUGCCAGCAGCCGCGGUAAUACGGAAGGUCCGGGCGUUAUCCGGAUUUAUUGGGUUUAAAGGGAGCGUAGGCCGGAGAUUAAGCGUGUUGUGAAAUGUAGACGCUCAACGUCUGCACUGCAGCGCGAACUGGUUUCCUUGAGUACGCACAAAGUGGGCGGAAUUCGUGGUGUAGCGGUGAAAUGCUUAGAUAUCACGAAGAACUCCGAUUGCGAAGGCAGCUCACUGGAGCGCAACUGACGCUGAAGCUCGAAAGUGCGGGUAUCGAACAGGAUUAGAUACCCUGGUAGUCCGCACGGUAAACGAUGGAUGCCCGCUGUUGGUCUGAAUAGGUCAGCGGCCAAGCGAAAGCAUUAAGCAUCCCACCUGGGGAGUACGCCGGC
rnacentral:rRNA from 1 species